rnacentral:lncRNA from 1 species
CACAAACCUGAGAGGGCAGGAAGUCCACGCUGCCACCACGGGGUCACCACAGGGAGCCUGGUGGGGACACAGAGUAAAAAGAAUAGAAAAUAACCAAAUGUCAAGACUGCAACUGGGGUGGAGCCAAGCUGCUGCGGAUGUUGCCAAGGGCCCUUCCCGGGAGAGCCAGUGAAGAAACUGAGAUAGGAGAAGGGAUGGUGCCUGAGUCUGCGGCAGACCCUGAACUGGGCCACAUCUCCCAACUUGAGAUUGAAGUCGCUUUGAAAGCAGAGCACAUGAAUCCGGGCAACGUGACUUAAGAGCUGGCUGAUGUUCCAGGACAGCACAAAAGAACGGAACUUGUUUUCAUGCUAUGAGUGCGCAAACCAAUGGGCAGUUUUUGGGGUUACUCGUGAUUGCUCCUCGGUCCAGAGUUCAGGCAGCAAUCUGAGCCACUCAACUGCUCUUCUUUACCCCUCUACCUCUGCAGUUCAUUGGGGGACAGAGCUGGGCCAGGAUCCUGGGACAGAAGGAGGAGGCGGGCCCAGGAAAGUCCACUUGGGGUAACACACAAUUUGUACAUAAAAAAGAAAUGUUCACCUCUUUGUAUGUACCGUAGUAAUUAUUUCACCUUCUUUUAUGAACUUGCACAUUUUCAGAGAGAGUUAAAUUAAGCAGAGUCUGAAAGUGGAGAAUUCUCACAUAGAUAAAAGAAUGGGGACCUGAAAUUGGGUCAUCAGGAAGUGUCUUGUGGCAAAAUACACUUAGUAUCGAACUGAAGGAAGAAAUAUUUCAAACAUUUUCUUUAAGGAAAACUUAAUGGAUGUGACUUAAUAUUGUCUAGACUGACCUAGCAGCACAAGGUGGUGCGUUCAAGGACUUUUCAUCUCAAUCCACAGGAAAAGGGUUCGAUUUAGAUGAGAAAGAGGGAGCGGGGCACAGCUAGACUGGAGAGGCAUCCUGUCCACGGAUUAGUCUUCACUCUUCAUGUGGGCAGUAGAAUGGUAAACGGGACCUUCUUAAAACAGCAGCUCCCAAACACUGGGAGGUUGAUGUGCUUCCUAAACCCUCACUGAUUCAUGAUGUUCGGCACAGUGUGGGGCCUCCCGAAAACGGUGCUGAUCAUAUGGAGUUUGUGGAACAUCUCCUAUGUGUACUACCGGGACUCUACUAUCCUCCGUGAUCACAAUUUCACUGGGGGCCAGUCGCCUAGAAGAUCUCACGGGGUGUCCAAUCUUUUGGCUUCCCUGGGCCACAUUGGAAGAAGACGAAUUGUCUUGCACCACAUAUAAAAUACACUAACACUAACGAUAGCUGAUGAGCUAAAAAAGAAAAUUGCAAAAAUAUCUCAAUGCUUUAAGAAAGUUUACAAAUUUGUGUUGGGCUGCAUUCAAAGCCAUCUUAGGCCACAUGUGGCCCGUGGGCCAUGGGUUGGACAAGCUUGAAGAUAGCCAUGAGACUACUGAUGACAAGAAUAAAGGUGGUUUAUUGAAUCCGUACUGUGUACUAGACUCUUCACAUGCAGAGCCUCAUUUAAUGCUCGUAACAAUCUCUUGAGGCUGAGACAAGCAUAUCCCCCAUCUUACAGAGGAAGAAGCCCACUCAGAGAAGCUAAGGAACUAACCCAAGAUCACACAACUAGAGUAGGGAUUCAAACCCAGACAAUGUGGAACCACAGACCACAACUUACCCACCAGCUGUUGUAAGUACACAGGGAAACCAGAGCAGGAGGGCAGAAAAAAGGAGGAGAUAUAUGGGGGUUAUAAGCAAGGUGUGGGUUAUAUGGAAGGUCAGUUGACAUCUUCUAUGAAUCCCCUGAAACCAGGAUGAAGAAUUUCAGACCAAAAGACUAUAGAGAGAGAAAAAAACUCCUGCUCCAAAUGAGAGAAGAGAAAGAGUGUUGACGGUAAAAUAUCAGUGAGACGCUGUGAUUUGUGCCUUUUGUCUUUUUCUAUCUGGCUCCCCUAGCAACAGUUAAGUAGUAAUGAAUGUAAAUGCUCAGUAACACGCCGGCGAGACUGUUCCACCAGGCGCAGCAUCCCUGGUAAACAGAAAUGCAUGCUAAUUUCUGCUCCGUGAAGCAUAGGAAACAUCACUAGGGGCUGCCCAGUGGAAAGGAACAAAAAGCAGAUGGAAAAAAUGUUUAAAUCUCAAGUUUAUGUGAGAACAGAAAAGAAGGAACAUGUUGUAAAUUAUUUUUUGAAAUAUUAAGCUACUAACAAAAUCCUAACACCAAGACAGACAACAGGGGUGGUAAAAGGGGAAGGAGAGACGGAGUCACAAUGGAGACGGUUUUGCUACAGCACAUCAUUAACCGCCACGUUUUUCUGCAGUAUCUGAAAAUAUCAGUCUUGGAAAUACCUAUGCAUUAUUUUUUCAGAGGUGUGUGUCUAUGGCCUCGGGGCUGGAGCUGGAAAACAAGCUAUUGCCAUGAGCUCAUGCUGGAGUCUGUGUAAAUUGUUUCCUCUCCUUAUGUAUAAUGUUUCUAAUUAGGACUGUUACAGAGGAUGAGCUCUGUGGGCUGUUGAAUUGACUCUUUGUGCUCACUGCAAAUCUAGGGCUUUAUGCCUGCCCAUGCUUGGGCCGACCUGCUUCUUAGAGGCAUCGCUAAAUGGGGAAGGUGACCCUGUCCUGCUUCCUGAUGUCUGAUAUCAGGGCUGUUGGGGAAACACCCAAGAGAUCUGCUGUCACCCCUGGAGUGAAUAGAUACAUGACUCUGGUUUCUAGAUGCAUAACUCUUGUUUCUAGUUGGCCCUUUUAUCCAAUUAUACCUUUAAUAAACAAAAGUCCAUUUUGAGGUCCUUUCUCUAAGAGACAACUAUUUACCUAAAAGUUGUAGGGUGAGCAGUAGACACUAGUUCCUCCCUCUGCAUCAAGAAUUUAAGAAAUGGGCUGGGCACAGUGGCUCACACCUGUAAUCCCAGCACUUUGGGAGGCCAAGGUGGGUGGAUCUCUUGAGAUCAGGAGUUUGAGACCAGCCUGGCCAACAUAGUGAAACCCCGUCUCUACUAAAAAUACAGAAAUUAUCUGAGUGUUGUGGUACAUGCCUGUAAUCCCAGCUACCCGGGAGGCUGAGGCAGGAGAAUCAUUUGAACCCGGAAGGCGGAGGUUGCAGUGAGCCAAGAUUGUGCCACUGCACUCUAGCCUCAGUGAUGGAGCGAGACGCCAUCUCAAAAUAAAUAAAUAAAUAAAUAAAUUUUAAAAGAAUUUUGGAAAUGUUUAGGGAAAGUGGAGUAGGACUCUGCUUCCCCAAGAUGCUGAGGCUUUGCAGAGAGGAUGUGACCCAGAGGGUAUGAGUCUCCCCGGCUUGGACCCACUCCUGCUCCCGACCUCUGACAUGUUUCUAGGUCAGACACACUUAGAAAAUUAAUCCUCAGCCAUCUGAGUAGCUGAUUGUCAGCAGGCAAUUCCCUUCCACCGGUAAAACUUCAGUCAGCUACGCUGGGCGAUGCAUAGAAAUACAGUAUUGGCUUGGCUUAGAGGUCUCCAGACACUUGGUCCCAGAGGACCAAGUAAAGGUUGCUUGUUAAUCUAGUACGACAUUCCCACUGUGGGACCUGUUAGGCUCCACACUGAAGAGGUGCCAGGAAUUCAAGGAGAGUGGAGGCUGGUGCUGAAAAGCUUCCCCCAGUGAUUCUGAUAUGCUCAGAGGGGGUGAUGGUGGUGGUCUUGGGCAGGCUUCCCAUUGUGUCAGGCCCAUGGUCACUAAUUCUUGUCCAGACCUGCAGAGCCAGAAUAGCCCAGCCCACAGAGCAGAAGCCACAGUGUAAGAAGCCCGACCUGGGCCAGAAAGCCUGACGAUGUCAGAAAAAAAUCCCCAUCAGUGUGAUGCCAUGGAAACCCUAGACAGCAGGCAGAUCUUUCUUCCUACGAGCCCAUUGGCACCUCCCUGGGAACUGGGAGCUGAGUAGGGAGGUAAAUCCCAGAAGCCAACAGAACACAGGUUUCAUGGAGAGCCUGGAUGCAAACCAGCAGUAGAGGACUGCUGCUCGGCACUGCGGAGGUGCUCAUGCCUUGCACCUGGUGGUUUGCCAAUGGACAAUUUCUCCAUGACCUAGUUUUCUACCUGGUCUGAAAUGAGAAAAAAUAAGUACAGCAUAGCAAGUUUUUCAUUAAGCUAAAUUUGUUCUAUUUAAAGAACUGCCAUUUGUUCUGGAACUAUGUCCUUUCUACUUUUUUUGGUGGAAGAAAAGUACUUUUAAGAAACAGAUGUGACAAUGUGGUAGUGGAUGACAACAUUUUUUGGUGUUGCUUUUUAAUAUUUCUAUUUUUCAAAAUAAAACCUGGCAACACUGUGUUAGUCCUCUGUUUUGUUUGUUUGCAUGCUUGCUUUUGCUUCUGUGUGUGGCGGAUUAGGGAUGGACACAAACUCUUUGGAACUUUUCAUACUGAAAGGUGCACCUAAUUUGCCUUCUCUUAAAUCUGGGCUGGCCUUAGUGACUUACUUGACUAAUAAAAUGUGGUGCGCAUGACCGCAUAGGUCUUCUGAAACUAGAUCACGGGAAACCCUGCAGCUUCCUUUCCAGGCCUCUUGGAACACUUAC